rnacentral:rRNA from 1 species
UGAGGAAUAUUGGUCAAUGGGCGCGAGCCUGAACCAGCCAAGUCGCGUGAGGGAUGACGGCCCUACGGGUUGUAAACCUCUGUCCUCUGUGAAGAUAAUGACGGUAGCAGAGGAGGAAGCUCCGGCUAACUCCGUGCCAGCAGCCGCGGUAAUACGGAGGAUGCGAGCGUUAUCCGGAUUUAUUGGGUUUAAAGGGUGCGUAGGCGGACUGUCAAGUCAGCGGUAAAAUACGGGGGCUCAACCUCCGCCCGCCGUUGAAACUGACGGUCUUGAGUGGGCGAGAAGUAUGCGGAAUGCGUGGUGUAGCGGUGAAAUGCAUAGAUAUCACGCAGAACUCCGAUUGCGAAGGCAGCAUACCGGCGCCCAACUGACGCUGAAGCACGAAAGCGUGGGUAUCGAACAGG